GUGGAUCACGUGGUUUAAUUCGAUAAUAAACGAGGAACCUUACCCAGACUUGACAUCCUAGGAAUCUUUGAGAGAUCGAAGAGUGCUUUUAUUAGAGCCUAGUGACAGGUGCUGCAUGGUUGUCGUCAGCUCGUGCCUUGAGGUGUUCGGUUAAGUCCGUUAACGAGCGCAACCCAUGUCUCUAGUUAUUAUGUCUAGAGAGACUGCCUUGGUUAACAAGGAGGAAGGUGUGGAUGACGUCAAAUCAGCAUGGCUUUUACGUCUGGGGCCACACACAUGAUACAAUGGUACGUACAAAGGGUAGCAAUACAGCGAUGUUGAGCAAAUCCUAAAAGCGUAUCUUAGUCCGGAUUGGAGUCUGCAACUCGACUCCAUGAAGUUGGAAUUGCUAGUAAUCGUGAAUCAG
rnacentral:rRNA from 1 species